rnacentral:lncRNA from 1 species
CUCCAGACCCGGGGUCAACCACUUGUGCCAAGGAGCCUGAGAUCCCAGCCCAUGCCCAGCCAGUCAGAGGUGCGCCCCUGCAGACGCCCCCUUGGGAUGGUGUCCACACCGUGGCUCUGCCGGAACAGCCUCCCACAUCCCCAGUCUCUAAGUGUGGACGGACAUGGGGCCUUUGGACACCAAGUGGCCGGGCCACCACUUAUCAGCAGAGGCAGCCCCCAGCCCACACAGGAACCCUUUCUUUGAGGGUCCAGAGGCCCGGGGCCUGAGUGUCUCACUCACAAACAGCCCUCCUCUGCCCACUGUCCCUCAGAAGCAAACAUAAGUGCAUCCCCCCGCCCCCUCCUCUCUCUGCAGAGUGGGCCCCAGAGCUCCUGUGAGCUCAGCCAGGUGGGGCCGUCCGUGUCAGUGGGGUUUGGGGAGACGGGUGCGAAUGGACAUCGAGGGACAGAGGAGACACAGGGCAGGGGCCCCGCCCACCCUGAUGUCUGCAGGGGCUCUAAGCCCUCACCUCACCCCUGCUGGCCUGGAGGGAGGGGCCUGAGUGGAAGGGAGGCGGGGACUGGGGGCGGGGACCGUGGGGUGGGGGUUCCUGGAGCCUGCACAGUUGUUCCUUCAUUCAUUUGACACACUUGCAAACUGUGCAGCCUCAGCCUGGUGUUUGGAACCGGGCUGGGGCAGACGCGUUCGAGGGGCUGUUUCUUGGAGUCUGGUCCAUGCCUGCAGAAUUGCAGAGUUGGAGGACCCA